UUGCUUUGGCAACACAGAUACUAAAAUUGGAAUGAUACAGAGGUUAGCGUGGCCCCUGCACAAGGAUGAUAUGCAAAUUUGUGAAGCAUUCCAUAUUUUU
rnacentral:snRNA from 1 species